GGUUUAAUCGAUUUUAGUUUUCUCCCGCCAAGUGUGAACCUAAAUCCUCAAUCCCUCCAUUGCAGCCUCUUGUCUUGCGGCUCUUCCUCCUCCCGCCAUUGUUGUAUCUGUUACUUCAAUCCCUUCAAAUUCUUCCCCAUUUUGAAACUCUUGAAGAUUAUUGGAACCAGUCAAGAACACGCAAUAUGAAUAUUGGUGUUUCUAUAUCUUCAAUUGCUGCCCUCCGCCUUCCUAUUCGCCUCCAUUGCUUUCGCACCUCCAAAAUCCUCACAUCCUUCCCGAAUUCUGGAAGCUUACGUAUCUUUUCGUCAAUGUCCACAUCCUCGCCUCCGACCGCGGAUCAGCUGGCUGUAGAUGACAAGAAGCCCUCGCCGCCGCCCAAGCCAUGGCUCAUCGUGGGCCUUGGGAACCCUGGGAAGAAAUAUGAUGGCACGCGCCAUAAUGUAGGUUUUGAGAUGGUGGAUACUGUAGCUGAAGCUGAAGGGAUAUCCAUGAGUAGUGUAUCCUUCAAAGCUCUGAUCGGGAAAGGUUUCAUCGGGGAUGUUCCCAUAAUGCUAGCCAAGCCACAAACUUUCAUGAAUGCAAGUGGUGAGUCUGUUGGUGCUAUUGUUUCCUACUAUAAGAUUCCAUUGAAGCAAGUACUUGUGAUUUUUGAUGACUUAGAUUUGCCAUUUGGAAAAUUGCGGAUGCUGCCCAAGGGUGGCCAUGGAGGACAAAAUGGGAUGAGGAGUAUUAUUGAUCACUUGAAGGGAAGUCGUGAUUUCCCUCGAUUAAGAAUUGGCAUUGGACGCCCUCCCGGGAAAAUGGAUGCUGCGAACUUUGUUCUGCGGCCCUUCAACAAACAAGAACGAGAAGAGUUGAAUUUUACACUGCAAGUUGGCUUGGAGGCAAUUCGGAUCCUUUUGCUCGAGGGGUUUAACAAAAGUGCAACAUUUGUCAACACCAACAAACCUCUGGAACAAAUAGUUUCAACUACCAACUUCCUUGAAAGCUUUGGAUGAGAUUCAUGGCGAGAAAGACCUGUUGCAGCAAGAGACACCAGUGUCAUAAUGCUAAAUAGUCGGCAAAGGGUCACUAGUAUUUUGAAUCCCAUCAAUGGCAGCAAACAAGCCGAGAAAAGUUGAGAAAGACAGGAAUUGAUAAAGUUAAAAACAUGGAAGGGCAAGAAAUAGUUAUGAAAUGUAAUUAUAUUUUUCUUUAUUAAAAAAAAUGAAACAAGAAGCUUGUACGUUAUCAAAGGGCUCUUGAUUAUCUCAUCUCGGCAUCACCAACGGAGGCUCUUUCUUUACCUUUCUUGUCUGGUUCUUCAGCUUUUUGCAUUCCCCCUGUUCUGAGGGGCCCACGAUUUUCCUGUAAUUUACUGAACUAUC